UACGUAGGUGGCAAGCGUUGUCCGGAUUUAUUGGGUUUAAAGGGUGCGUAGGCGGCUUUGUAAGUCAGUGGUGAAAUAUGGCAGCUCAACUGUCAAGGUGCCAUUGAUACUGCGGAGCUUGAGUACAGAUGAGGUAGGCGGAAUUGACAGUGUAGCGGUGAAAUGCUUAGAUAUCGUCAAGAACACCUAUAGCGAAGGCAGCUUACUAGGCUGUAACUGACGCUGAGGCACGAAAGUGUGGGGAUCAAACAGG
rnacentral:rRNA from 1 species